AAGAUGAUCUUCUUAAAGCAGCCAUGGCUAAGCAUUCAUAAUACGUGAUAGAUCAUGUUAUAGACUUCAUCUUUGUAGAUCAUAUAAAUGCUUAAGUGUUGAGUCAAUGACACAUAGACUGUACUUGUCUAUUUAAUUUGUCUAACGUAUUACAUUCAUAAAAAGCGCGUAAACGUGUUGAGUCUUAUAGAAGUUGUUAUGACUAGCAAUUCAAGAACAAGUCUGAUUCAUAACAUUAUUUAACAUUUCUUUAUUCCAUUUCAUUUUAUUCUUUCUCUAUGUUAAAAUUCUUGACUUUGCAAUAUAAACAGACAAAUAUGCACCAAGUAGCUUGUACAAAUAGCUCCUAAACGAUCUUUGAAUGCAUGAAGAUAAUAUUCUAUAUACCAAGGAUUUGAAUACUUCACGAUCUUACUGUAUGAAUAUAUAAACAA